AAGGCAGUGUUUACCAAAAGCACAUGUUUAGGUAAUGUUUUGUCAAGUCUACCUACAGUAACCUCAAGAUGAGCUGCCAGAAACCGGUUGCUAGAUGGAAUUAGAGGGGCAAAAGCAGUGACGAAAAGAGAGUGUUAGCUUGGGGAAAGAAAAAGAGCGAGGAAUGGGGAGAGAUUCAAGUAGGUGCCAUGGAACUGGAGGACCGCAAGCCCCCACUUUGGAUAUUCUUAUCAUUUAAUUUAAUAAAUUUAAUUUAUUUUUAUUUUUUAUUCAAUGCUGAGGAUUAGAAUUUGGUCCAGUUUGAAGUUGUUUUUAACUUGCCAUAGACCAGGAUACAUCUAGUUGAAUUCUUUUCUUAUUAAUGUUAACAUUAGUUUUCUGAAUUUUGUUGUAUAAAUAAUGCAAAAUCAACAUCAUAAAUGGCUAUGCUUGGUUUUCAGGGUUGUGUAUUCCAUUCAUUGUUUCUGUUCACUUUGCACCUAAUUAAUGGCUGAGCAGAGCAUCAGUCUACCAAUGACCCCCAAAUCGAAUGAGUCAGAUGCAAGUAAUUCAAGAAGGCACUCGAUAGGAAAGGCCACUUCUUCAGGAAGCGGAGAGAAUAUCCUUCCUCACUAUCUCCGAGCUUCUACAGGUUCCUGUCACGAUUUCUGUAAAUAUGGGAGGAAACAUGCAUUUGAAGAGAAAGCAAGGCGUCCAUUUCUAAGAAGGAAUGCAAAGAAACCACCUGAUGAACAAAACUCUGUAGAGUUUCAGCCAGAGAGAAAUAACACGUCAAAGGAUAAGCACAAAAUUGGUAACUAUACUCCACCAAAUACUCCAGAGAGCAUAAAGACGGAAAUGUCUAGAAAAUUACUCAACAGACAAACUCCUGCAACAAGUGAAGUUAUGGGUGAGAAGAAGGCAUCAUCAGGGGUAUUGUUGACGAAAUCAGCUGACAGGCAAAGUCCAGUGUUGAGGGAAGUUCUGGCCAGGAAGAAGACGGUGGCAAAGGAAGUGUUAACAAAAUCAGUUGACAGCCAAAGUUCAGUAUCAAGUGAAAAUUGGGCUGAGAAGAGUAAGAAAUCAACUCAGCAGAGGAAGAAGACAACAGCAGUUGAGCUCAGAACUUCAUCUGAAUCUAAAACCCGUUUGUCCCCAAAAAUAAUGAAACUGGAAAUGUCAUCAUCUUCUGAAAAGCUAGAGGUCUCUUUGAAACAUGCUUCAUCAAAAGUUAAAGAAGAAAACAUGUCUGUAAAACAUGCUAGUUUUCCAGAGAUGAAAUUGUCUUCUUCUGAUUCUUCGAGAGUAUUAGAUGUCAGAGAAAACAGUGAUACUAAAAUAGGGCGGAGGACAGUGACAUCUGAAAUAGCUGUAAAGAGAGAACAGAUACCCCCAAGAGCUUUGCUGUCCCCUAAAAUUUCCAGCGGUGGAAAUGCAAGAGGACUGGCAUCCCCAAGAGCUUCCUUGUCCCUCAAGCCUACUCUCAGAUUACAGAUGUCUCCAAGAGUUUUGUUGUCCCCUAAAACUUCCAGUGGUGGAAUUGUGAAAGGACAGGCAUCCUCAAGAGCUUCCUUGUCCCGAAAGCCUUCUCCCAGUAAAGUUUCAAACCUAAAAGCAAGAAAGCAUUGGGGCUUAGAAAUCGCAUCUCCACUGAAGAAUCAGAACAAGAUUGGCAAGGCCAAUAAUGAGCAUCCCAAGAUUAAGAAUGCUGAUUCUGACCAAUCUACUGAAGGACUUAGCAAUGAUGUGGUCGAGGAGAAAACCCUGUAUGUCAUCAAAAUGGAAACUGAAUGCAAAUAUUUGGAGUCUGAUCAUAAGGAAAAUCAUUCUGGUGAAUUAUCUUCACCUCCAUUUUUGUCAGCCAAUUCUCCAGUCCUCUCAGAAUCUCCUUUGUUCUCAUCUCAUAACGAAGAAGAUGAACAGGAAUCUGAGUAUGCUGUAACUGAAGCAGAAGAUGACCCUCUCUCUGAAUGUGAUGAAACGGAGUACAUGGAAGAGUCUGAUACUUUGGAAGGGGGAUGCAAAGGAUUGCAUCAGAAGGUUGGGAUAAUUCCUUCUGAGGAUAAGGAUGACCAAGCCGUGAAAUUACAAUUCAGGAGGGGAAAGGUGGUUGAUGUUCAGACUAAUCAUAAUGGUCCUAGGAGGCUCAAAUUCAGGAGAGGAAGAAUGUUGGAGGAGAACCGAAAUCUCAAAGCUGAAGCCCAAAGAAGCUUCAAGAGGAGAGGAACUGAAGGCCACGCAAACAUUGAGAAGCCUGAUUCAGAAAAGGUUGUUUUGAGACAUCAAGAUGUGCAUGGCAAGAAAGAUGCGCAGGGUCUGUUUAAUAAUGUCAUUGAAGAAACAGCAAGUAAACUUGUUGAAACCAGGAAAAGUAAGGUUAAGGCCUUGGUUGGUGCUUUUGAAACAGUGAUCUCGCUCCAAGAUAGCAAACCAUCUUCAAACACUGUAUCAUGAGUUGGAAGGCAAAAAAUAAAAUAAAAUAAUAAAGUAAAUAAAUUUUUUUUAAAGUCAAAAUAAAUUAGACAGGAAAAAGAAAAUGAUUUGAAGUGCACGUUCUUUCAUUAACAGUCUUUUGGUUUUUGCAAAGGAAUGGUGGGAAAAUAAACCUAAGCUUGUAAGGAGAGAAGUGCAAGUUUACAAGUUUAUGAAGUUGCAGAAGGAUAAAAGUAGAUUGCUUCUGUUGACAUUAAACAACCUGGAUGUAAAGUUUGACAAGAAGUCCUGUGAGUAUUGAUCUUGACAUGCUUCUCGUGUUUUCUUUGAGGGUAUGCAUCUUCUCCCUUUUAUUUUGUACUUGAUGUGAUUUGUUUCUAUCUGUGAAUGAGAAAAAAUGUAGUUUGAUCAGGAAAAGAGAGCUACACAGCCAGUUUUAAUCCUUGUAUGAUUUGGGGGAUGUUGCUUUUUAUCAUUCAAUGCAAUGACUAAUCCUGUUUUGUUUGAUUACCUUUUUCUUCGUGACUGAAGCUGGUGUUAGUUUAUUUUGAUUUGUUAUCACACAAUGUGUUUACAGGAGGCAUAUCAAUUAUGAAAUACCGGUUGUAUUUUCCUAAUAACAUCAGGGAAUCUAUGUAUCUAAAAUACCAUAUAUAGCCAUUUUGCCAUUAGAUUCUCUUUUAUCAAUUCUCUAACUCUCUACCAGCCAAUGAAAAUAUCUUUGCUUAUACUUGUACAGCAUUUCAAAGCAUAAAAAUCCCUGUUAUAUUUUCUUCAAUAUUAGUUUUUGAAUGAUCUCUCCUCUUGCUUCAUCGGUUU
rnacentral:misc_RNA from 1 species